AUGUAUUCAUGUGUGUUUCUCUUGCAAUUCUUUUCGUUCCUUCAAGAAGCGACCAUCAUCAUGACUCCAACCGUUGGUCAUCCGGGCCUGUUUCUGAAGCCACAAGACCCAGUUGGAGACCAGAGAUGGAGACAAGAGCAGCGUCAGUCGGGCAUCAAGGGCCGACCUUUUCAGAAUGUAAGUGUCCCUUACAGAUGGUUUAUAAAAGUUAACUCACUAGGCCUUCCACCAACUGACUAACCACUUACUUACCCUAAAGUAAACUUAAUCGUAGAGUAUUUAGGGAUCUGUCCAAAUACAUUGUGAACAACAAUGUGAUUUAAAAAAUAUAUAUAUUUUUGUUCUCCUUAAGCCACCAUGCCCAUGUAUUUAACUAGGCAAGUCAGUUAAGAACAAAUUCUUAUUUUCAGUGACUGCCUAGGAACAGUAGGUUAACUGCCUUGUUCAGGGGCAGAACGACAGAUUUGUACCUUGUCAGCUCAGGGAUUCAACCUUGCAACAUUUUGGUUACUAGUCCAACACUCUAACCACUAGGCUACCUGCUGCCCCAUGAGGAAGACUCUCUUGAAUGUAAGCUAUUUAAUGAAUGAAAUUCAAAAUAACAACAAUACUUUUUACUCCCUUUCUCACAAUGGUACUCACACCGGUCUCUCAACUUUCCCUAGGUCACCCAACGGCUUAUCCCAUCACAUUGCACUGGUAUAUUUGGCCUCAUCUUUCUAUUGAAAUCAGAAAACUGCUUUGUAUUAGUACUAAUGGAUCAACCUUGAAAAGCUGGGGGAGCUUCAGCUCAAGGUGGCGCAUCUGACUAAACUUGUACAAGUAAGAAGUGCAACUGCAACCGCUCUACCGGGUCAAGAACCACAGGGGUGAGGAGGACAGGGAACCCAUACUGCCACAACUUACAUUGUAGGAGCUCUAUGACUUCAAAUUAGAGACUUGGCCGGGCACAUUAAACAUUUUUUAAAAUAUGUUCGCUAACCCUUUCAUGGGCUACAUAGAGGGAUUCACAACAACUGUGUUACAGUAUAAUUCUUAAUAACCUUUGUGUUCUAGCCCAUCAGUUGUUCCUUAUAUUUGAUAUACCGUCAUACGAGCUCACCCAGCAGCAGUUAAAGUGUGUAUAGUGUUGGAAUACAGCCAAUAGGAAUUGGCUGCAGUGCCCCGAUGGAAUGGGUUAAUUAUUCUAGUUGACCUCAAACACAACUCAUUCAACUAAAAUGAGUUGAUUAGUUGAGUCUGGUGUUAGUGCUACAUUGGAACUGUAUUAGUGUGCAGAAACAUAUCUGGUAAGACUUGAACUUUUAUGUUCUGAAUGUAUAACAGGCAGAUUUGAAAGACAAUAAUUGUCUGCAUUAACAUGUUCUUUUCCGAUUUCAGUUAGUAUUUUCGGAUCUGACCUAGCCACCCAAUUAAAUUGGUGCGGGAGAGGGCAUCAAGACACGACAUGUGAAGGACAUCAUAGUGGGUAGGUUCAACCAUUACUGUGAUAUGUUUCUGUUUUAUGAUUUAGUAAAUGAAAGCAAAGACCUUUUGUAAAUUAAAUGGCUGUUAUUAUACAGAAGCUCUUAGAAAUCUGCUAGUGUAAAGACAACAGAGAGAGCCCACCCACA
rnacentral:lncRNA from 13 species